GCGUGGACACACCGGAUCCCAUCCGAACUCCGAAGUUAACCGCGC
rnacentral:rRNA from 1 species